rfam:Triticum aestivum genome assembly, contig: Triticum_aestivum_CS42_TGACv1_scaffold_642249_T_6BS-0.047097_2BS-0.045618
AUUCUACUCCAUCCGUUCCACAAUACAUGCCUUCUGUUUUUCAAAAUAUAGAUGUAUCUAGACAUGUUUUAGUAUAUAGCUACAUCCAUUUUUGGACAAAUGGAAGUCAAGUAUUUUGGAACGGAGGGAGUACACA